UAUUAUAGGACGUGAUGCCACUGAAUUAGGAUGUUUGUUCUUUUGCUACCUUUGUUAAACAACAUCAGAUCAUUCGUAUUGUAUCCUUCCUCGGAUUGCUUCUUUUGUUCUACUACAAAUAUGCUCAACAUGACAGGGAGAGGUAUGCUCCUAAAUUUCUUAUUUUGUGCAUUGUGAAAUGAUUGUUCUAACAACAUCAAGUUUGUGUUCUUCAUAUAAUCUAUCUCAGAUUGCUCUGUGUUUUGCAGGUCUCGAGGUCAAGCCUGGACCCACUGUCAAGUGUGUGCUUGGACAUGACUUUAUCCUGCACUUUCUAGUGCUGCACUUGGGGAAUCAAAGAAAAGUGAAAGUGCCAUGUCAAAGUUGAUGACCAGAAGCUUGCUAUCG